GUGAGUUUUCAUCGACUGCUGCGGCGGCGGCCUCCCAGUGUCCGACGAGAUCAGACCACUGAGUGUUUACUAGAUGUCACAUGAGGAUGAGAUGCGUCACUGAUUCCCUGAGGAUGGAGAAUGACAGCAGUCACAUGACUGAGAGGAUACUAAAUCUCACCCUGGAGAUCAUCUACCUACUGACUGGGGAGGAUUACACAGUAGUAAAGAAGACAUCCGGUGAAUGUGAGACACCCAGAAGCCGUCCCCAUGUGUCAGGAGGACUGAGCAGGACCCAGAGCCCCAUCACGGUGCCUCCACCUCUCUCGCUGAUACAUGAGAGGCACAAUGACCAGGAGAUUCUGGAACUCACCAACAAGAUCAUUCAGCUGCUGACUGGAGAGGAGGGGGAAUAUAUAGAGGAACACAGGGGUCUGUACAAGGACGUGAUGAUGGAGAAUCACCGGCCCCUCACAUCACUGGAUGGUCCCAGUAACAGAGAUACCCCAGAGAGAUGUCCCCGUCCUCUGUAUUCCCAGGAUUGUACAGAGGAGAAUCACAGGACCCCACAGGAGGAUCAGGGUGAAGAUCUUACAAAUAUAAAGGGAGAAGAAGAGACGUAUGUGACUGAUGUGAAGGCAGAAGAUAUAGAGGGAGAAGAAGAGACGUAUGUGACUGAUAUGAAGGCAGAAGAUACAGAGGCAGAAGAAGAGACGUAUGUGACUGAUAUGAAGGCAGAAGAUAUAGAGGGAGAAGAAGAGACGUAUGUGACUGAUAUGAAGGCAGAAGAUAUAGAGGGAGAAGAAGAGACGUAUGUGGCUGAUAUGAAGGGAGAAGAAGAGACGUAUGUGACUGAUAUGAAGGCAGAAGAUAUAGAGGGAGAAAAAGAGACGUAUGUGACUGAUAUGAAGGCAGAAGAUAUAGAGGGAGAAAAAGAGACGUAUGUGACUGAUAUGAAGGUAGAAUAUACAGACGGAGAAGAAGAGACGUAUGUAAGGAGUGAUCAGCAGUGUAAGGAGGAGGAAAUCCCUACAGAUAUCAGCACAGCAGAUGGCGGCACAAGCAGGAAUGCCUUGGAGGGAGAUCUUAUAUUGUCUGCCGAUACUGACAUAGAAGAUAACAUCACACAGGAUUCUCCAGGAGACAGCCCCAUUAUGCUAAAUAUACAUCCAGUACCUCUAAGCGCAGAUAUAUCAUCUGAUCCCCCUAACUGCGAGGACUGUUCUCCUGGUACCUCAGAUUUUGUUACACAUCGUGCAGCUCAUACACCUGAUAAAGUAUUUUCCUGUUCUGAGUGUGGGAAAUGUUUUACUCGCACAUCAAGUCUUGUUAAACAUCAGAGACAUCACACAGGUGAGAGGCCUUUUCUAUGCAGUGAGUGUGGGAAAUGUUUCACACAGAAAUCAAAUCUUGUUAGACAUCAAAGAAGUCACACUGAUGAGAAACCAUUUCCAUGCUCUGAGUGUGGGAAAUGUUUUCAAACUAAAUCACAGCUUGUUAAACAUCAGAGACGUCACACAGGUGAGAAGCCUUUUCUAUGCAGUGAGUGUGGGAAAUGUUUUACACAGAAAUCAAAUCUUGUUAGACAUCAAACAAGUCACACUGAUGAGAAACCAUUUCCAUGCUCUGAGUGUGGGAAAUGUUUUACAAAUAAAUCCGAUCUUAUUAAACAUCAGAGACUCCACACCGGUGAGAGACUAUUUACGUGUUCUGAGUGUGGGACAUGUUUCACACAGAAAUCAACUUUAGUUAUACAUCAGAGACGUCACACAGGUGAAAAACCAUUUACAUGCUCUGAGUGUGGGAAAUGUUUUACAUAUAAAUCUGCUCUUGUUAGACACCAGAAAAAUCACACAGGUGAGAAACCAUUUCCAUGCUCUGAGUGUGGGAAAUGUUUUAAAAUGAAAUCACAGCUUGUUAAACAUCAGAGAAUCCACACAGGUGAGAAGCCAUUUUCAUGCUCCAUGUGUGGGAAAUGUUUUACACAGAAAUCAGCUCUUGUUACACAUCAGAAAAUCCACACUGGUGAGAAACUAUUUUCAUGCUCCGAGUGUGGGAAAUGUUUUACACAGAAAGCAGCUCUUGUUAUACAUCAGAGAAGACACACUGGUGAGAAACCAUUUCCAUGUCCUGAGUGUUGGAAAUGUUUUACACAAAAAUCAAAUCUAUUUAGACAUCAGAUUUCACACAGUAGUAAAGCAUUUCUAAUGGCUGAUACAAAACAGGGUUGUAGCACAGUUCCUGUCACAGUAUUUGAACAAUGUAAGUUAACCAUCUGCAGACAAUUGGAAUAGAUGUCAUAUAAGACUGGAGUAGAUCACUCGGGUGAAACUAAAGCUGAGUACACACUAAACAAUGUGUACCCAGCCCAACAUCACUGCUGCCGGGACCCUGCAUGUGGCAAGUGCAUACAGCAGGACCAACGGGGGAUGUCACUAGUGACCCGUGGGAGAGCAUACCAUGGGUACACACUAGACGAUUAUUCUGUUAGAUAUUGGCCCCACUCUCCACAGUAAUAUAUACACAUUUUCUCCCAUUGCUAAAUAUAGAAACGGGUAAUGUAGGGCGACUGGGGUGGAGAACGGACUUUCCAGGUCUUUCAUUACAGAUAGUUCCAGCUGCAAAUCUUACAUUAAAUAAACAAUUUCUAUCUCCUAUGCCGAGAUGCAUCAUAUUAUAUUGCAGAUAUCUUACUUCACUCCUAGAUUAUAAUGUCUUAUAGGUGAUGCACCUACUUCUAGCUGCUAUAAAUGUGACACCAUACACAGAUAUUGUACAUUGCUUGUGGACCGGCCCACAAGUACAAGUAUUAUGGAUGGAUGCCAAAAUUCUAUUAACAAUAAUACUGAUAACUGAAUGUGUUGAUGAAACGUGAACAUUCUGCGCUAUUUACUCCAAGACAAAUUCAUAGAAAUUAACCAAAGGUAGCGGAACACAGAAUGUAAAAUCGCCAGCUGGCACUAAGAAGACUGUAUUGUCUCAAUGGAUCUCUCCUGAUCCUAUCUCUCUAACCUUACAUCCCAGACUUUGGGGGUCAUUCCAAGUUGAUCGCUCGCUGCCGAUUCUCGUAGCGCAGCGAUCAAGUAAAAACCUGGCAAAACUGCGUAUGCUCCGCAAUGCGCAGGCGUAUCGUAUGGGUACAAAGCGCGUCAUUGCUAGUGAAGAAUCCAUUCGCACAGACGAACGCAAGGAGAUUGACAGAAAGGGCAUUUAUGGGUGUCAACCUACCGUUUUCUGGGAGUGGUAGGGAAAACGCAGGCGUAUCCAGGCGAUUGCAGGGGUGUCUGACGUCAAUACCGGGACCAAAAAGACUGAAGAGAUCGCAAGCGCUAAGUCAAGAGCUACUCAGAAACUACACAAGCGAGCAUCAACUCAGAAUGACCUCCUUUAUUCCUUGUUUCUUAUGGACUGGACUGAUGUAUCCCUGCAAAAAGAAAAAUGGUGGCAAAAUUCUUCUAUAUAUGGCUUCCUUAUGUUCACACUUUGUCUGCAGUUUUUAUAGAAGCACUGAGAAUAUGUUUCCAGUCUACCUCAUAGUAUAACCUAGAGGUACUUACCUCUGGUGUAGCAGUGUAAUGUAUGUAUGAGAUAUAUUCCAUGUUUCUUUACCUUGUCCCUUGUUACUAUGUUUUAUAUGUAAGAACAAGACCAGUAUUGUUACAUCUUUUAAAAUAGCCCAAUGUUAUGGUACUGGGAAUACUUUAAAUGUCUGUAUCUUCCUUUCUUAUACAUAACUUUCUCCAGCAGGCUCCACAGGUUAUCCACAGGAUAACAUUGGGAUAUGAUGGAGGGACAGCGGAUUUGCACCAAUCGGCUAAGAAAGCUUAUGGCUGCUAAAAACCAGCAGCCAUUUAACCAUGGUCCGGCUCCUGCCGCACCAACCAUAAAACUGAUUUGCCUGAGCCAGGAGGCGGGGAUAUAUGGAUGGGCCCGUUGCAUGCUGGGAGACCGAAAAGCUUUGACCGAUUGGUGCAAAUCUGCGGUCGCUUCAUCAUAUCUCAAUGUUAUCCUGUGGACUUAGGAGAAAUACCAUUAUCAACAGGAAGUUCUUACCAUAACGUAUAUUUUCUUCUGUGUUAUUGUCAAGAUUAUUGCUAUAUUCUUGUUACUCAGAUGUAUAUAUUUUGUUUUUAUUUUAUAA